rnacentral:lncRNA from 1 species
UCUACAUAUAUUAAUGUAUGAAGAGCAUAUCUGAAACCCAGUUCUCUGUUCGUUGUGGAUUAAAUUGGCCUUUUUACAUAAAUAUAUAACCGAUAUCGUAAGAACAAGUUUGAAUCUGCACCUUCUGCAACUACUUUAGACGUCGUCACUCCAGUUGCAACAAUUUCAACUCCAGUCUCCAUUUGAUCUGUAGGUCUUUCACAUGGUGUUUGCUUUGGUGGUUUCUCCUUCAUCACCUCCCUUAUUUAGUGUUUACAUUGGUGUUGUUUCUCCUUCAUCACCUUUCAUACAUCCACAUGCAUCUCCCUUAUAUGGCGUUUGUAGUCCAUUCCUUACAUUACUAAUGUACCUAGAAGGUCUUUGACUCUUUGCUUUCGCUCGUAGACGAGUAAGAAGUUAUCCUUUGCAUUGAACUGGUCUGUAGUUGGUUGGUCUCAAGGAUGGUUUUGUGAGAAGUCAACCUUCACAUCUCUUUCAACAGGGUUUAUAUCUCUUUCAUCCCUUUGACUUUGGGCCGGGUCUAUUACUUUG